rnacentral:rRNA from 1 species
AUUGAACGCUGGCGGCAGGCCUAACACAUGCAAGUCGCGCGAGCGGCGGACGGGUGAGUAAUGUAUGGGGAUCUGCCUGAUGGCGGGGGAUAACUACUGGAAACGGUAGCUAAUACCGCAUACCAUCAGAUGACCCCAUAUGGGAUUAGCUUGUAGGUGAGGUAACGGCUCACCUAGGCGACGAUCCCUAGCUGGUCUGAGAGGAUGAUCAGCCACACUGGGACUGGGACACGGCCCAGACUCCUACGGGAGGCAUCAGUGGGGAAUAUUGCGCAAUGGGGGCAACCCUGACGCAGCCAUGCCGCGUGGAGGAAGAAGGCCUUCGGGUUGGAAAGUUCUUUCGGUAGCGAGGCGUUAACUACAGAAGAAGAACCGGCUAACUCCGUGCCAGCAGCCGCGGUAAUUC